ensembl:lncRNA
GGCCAGGCCUCUCAGAGAGUAUAACCCUUCACUGCUACAAUAUGUACUCUGGCUUCCAGGAAGAAAAUUUCCUGUGUCAAAAUUUAAACAUUACACAAGAUUCGGUUUGGUUCAAGUACCUUCGGGCUGCAGAUGGCAAGGGACGUGCUUUCUCUUUGAGCCCUGUACCUGCAAUUAGGCCAAUAAUGGCAAUUAAGGAAAACGUAAAGAGAUUGAAACUUCAGUUCUUAAUAUCAUAACCACGCAAUCCUGCCCAUGAAAUGACAGAAAGUCCUCUUCAGGGAGCAUCACCAACCUCUCUUAAAAGCCCGUGAACUUCAGAGAGAGAGAUUAGAAAGCUACAAAGGUACCCGCCUCAGGACCAAGUCAGAUUCUGGUUUAAACCUCAGGCUACGACAAGCUUUUGACAGGAAUCUCACAAACUGCAAAUAAAGGUUAGCAUUCCAGGGGAGAAUUGAAAGAAGAAUUCAAAUGAAUGUGUUUUUAAGAUAUUUUUCCCCAAAAAACUAUAUAAAAGCCCUCUUUAUCUUCUUCCAGGGGGGUUGGAUUCUGUUUGGCAUUGCAAAAUGUUCAGUAUGGUUUGCGAUAAGAAACUAAACAAGGCUGGGGAUAAGGUCCUGGAAUUUUAUUAAGUUGCAAGUGUAGCCAGAGCUGCACUCCAAGAGGAUGGCCCCAUGGAGUGGUUGAUUUUUUUUGAAAACCCUGUGUGCUGCCCACAUAUGUAAUUCACUACUAGAAUUAUUUCUCUGCUUAGAAUAGUUUAUUGGCUUAACUUUUUAAAAGCAAUUUCAAUCUGCGUGCAGUGCUUGACACAUCAUAGAUGCUCAAUAAUUUGAAAGCAAAGAAGUAAGAAAAGAGGACAGACGACAAGAAGGCAUAAGACAAAUCAGGACUUUAUGUUUCAAAUGCAAGUGUAACCUCAGGAUUGCUACCCCGCAGAGAAUGCACACCUAGUGUAGUGGCUAACUGCAUAAAUGCUGAUUCUUGGCUUUUCUGAGUUCAAACACUGGCUCCGUUUCUUACGAGCUUUGUGAUCUUGUCUUUCUUGACUUAUCUAUGUCUUGGAUUUCUCAUCUAUAAAACAGAGAUAAUAAGCAUUCCUUUUGUGAGUAUUAAAUAAUGUAUAGAACAGUGUCUGGCACUAUAUGUCUGCUGUUUUUUUUUUUAUUUUGGGAGACAGAACUGAAACUCAGUAUUUUUUUUUUCGAACAGAGCCCCAUUAGCAGGCUUGAUACCGUUUUCCUCCUCUUCAGCUCCAUUUGGUAUGUCAGGUUUUAUUCUGGAUACCUCUUGAGCUGAGAGAAUCACCUCAUCCUGGGAAUCUGGUAGUGCUUCCACACCCAUACAGCUAGCACCAGGCUAAAUCUUAAUUCAGAGCUACAGGCUCCUUCAAACAGAUGAGUGAGGAAGCAUUUGCUAAAUUCUGGUGUACCUGUGUGUUUGUGUGUGUGUGAUAAUAAAAGCAGAAUUUCAAAACUCUACAGUGUGACCGAACUGGGGCCUUUGUCCUGCUUACUCAGAUAAACUCCAGAAGCAUAUGGAGUGGCUUUUGGAAGAACACAUGUCUCAAUUCUAUUUUGGUUUCCGCUUAAUAAAGACAGCUUGGUCUAGUGGCUUAAUUAUCAAACCCUCUAGUCCAUUCUGCCAUUGCCUCCUGUUGUCAGCCCCUUUUUGGAAUCUAUGUUCUCCACUCACCAUAUUCUCUAUAACCUAAUAAGUAAUCCAGGCUCCCUACUGUGACAUUGAAGGUCUCCAAAAUAUUGCCCCCCAAUUCUGGUAGCCUUGUAUCUCCAUACAGCUACUUUCUAUCACAAAACAAUGUGGCUGCUUUCAUAGCUCUAUACCUUUACUCAUCCUGUUUACUUGGCAGCCUCCUCUUCCACUCAUUUAAAAUAAAAAGGUGAAAAUAGCUGCUGAAAUGCUGUUUGUUGUUUCAGGCCUGUCUGUCCCUAGUCCAAUAGUUCUCAAAGUAUUGCCCCUGAGCUAGGAACAUCAACAUCAUCUAGGAACUAGUGAGGAAUGCAAAUGUUCAAGCCAUAUCCAAACUGAGUAACACUUUGGAGGUGGAGUGCUGCAACAUGCACUCUCCAGGUGAUUCCAAUGCAUACCAACAUUUGACCACCACUGCCUCAGCCCAUCAUUUAACAUGUAUUGCUCUCCUCCGUGGUUGCAAAAUAUUUCGUUCUUUUAUUUGUCAUGGCCCUUCUACCUUAGUGAUUAUUAUAAACAUCUCUC